CCUGUUGAGCUACACCUCUAACCACUAAAUAGUGGCAUAGCACAAUGACAGACACCUUUGGGUGUGACGAAGGGUUUUGCGUCAAGAGGCUGCAGAUUGUUUGUUUGUUUGUUUGUUUUCAUGAGCUACACCUCUAACCACUCCUAAUAAAGCCUGCUUACACUUCGGGUGAACCAAUUGUCAUGACAGACUCUAUUCUCAUUAAGGCUAUUACUGACAGAGUUACAGGGACAAAUUUUCAGUGUUUAAAUUUGACAGUCAUGAGUUUCAAGAAUAAAACAAGGUUUGAUUUUUCUAAAUAUGACAAGAUCAGUUUUGCUUAUCUCACAAUAUUAUGUCUAUGGCUGGGGCUCAGUGCAUACACAGCACAAGCACAAACAACAGCAGAAACAACUACAUCUAUACUGAAUAAUGCUCCAACAAGUACGAUUCUGGAUUCAACAACUACAGAGGAUAAAACAAGCCCUACAAAUGUAGCAUCCACUACAUCAACAGAAUUUACAAAUACAAAUAUGAGUACAACUCAAGAUACAACAAGCAAGGAAACAACAGAAUUAACCACCUCAGGUUUGUACACAACACAACCUACAACACCACCAACAUCAGCAGAAACAACCACAUUGACAACGACUAGCACCCCAACAAGUACAAUUCCUGAGACAACCACUGCAGCAACUGAAGAAUCCACUACAUCACCAGACACUUUUACAACUGAAACAUCAACUACAACACCAACAGAAUCUGCCACCACAACUAUAUACACAACAAAACCUACAACACCACCAACAUCAG